rnacentral:lncRNA from 1 species
GGCCGCUGUCAGAGCCGGCUCGGCCGGCUGCCAGUACCCUGGUGGAGGUGUGUUGAGUUCAUAGCGACCCUGUGAGCCACGUGUAAGAAGCAACCUGCUGUGAACUAGAAUUGUGAUGCUGGGAGUGAUCUGAUUCCUGCAGGCCCCUCUCCCUUCUCAGCUCUGCUACGUGGAGAGGCCAUACGAGAAGCCAUAUAAGAAGGAGAGGCCCUGAGAGAAAAGCCUAGCUAGAGGAAUUUAAGGCCAGACCCCUGCUGACCUACUAGCUGGGUGAAUCCACAUGAGUGACCAUUGGCAAGAUCAACAGAAGAGUCACCCAGCUAAGACCGGAUUGCAGAAUUGUAAGCAAAUAAAAUGUUUAUUGUUUUAAGCCA